AAGAUCAUACUUUUAGGGAUCAUUUCUAUAGUAUGCAUCCAGGGAACGUCAGGUAAAACUGACAAACCUCACCACCACGAUGAGGAGCUAAAGCACUCUCUCCUGAGCGCGAAGCGGGCAACGAACUCCAUCCGUCCUCACAGAUGGCAGCUUCACGCCAUUGAUGACCGUUCCUCUCCUCCCUACGUGGAAGAGACGGAGGGAGAGAGUGCAAUCUGAGUGGU